rnacentral:rRNA from 1 species
GUCGAGAAUCAUUCACAAUGGGGGAAACCCUGAUGGUGCAACGCCGCGUGGAGGAUGAAGGUCUUCGGAUUGUAAACUCCUGUCAUCCGGGAGUAAGACCUGACGGUGAACAGCCGGCAGGGUUGAUAGUACCGGAAGAGGAAGGGACGGCUAACUUCGUGCCAGCAGCCGCGGUAAUACGAAGGUCCCAAGCGUUGUUCGGAAUCACUGGGCGUAAAGGGUGCGUAGGCGGUCUCGUAAGUCGGGCGUGAAAUCCCGGGGCUCAACCCCGGAACUGCGCUCGAUACUGCAAGGCUGGAGGAUCGGAGAGGAGACUGGAAUUCUCGGUGUAGCAGUGAAAUGCGUAGAUAUCGAGAGGAACACUCGUGGCGAAGGCGAGUCUCUGGACGAUUCCUGACGCUGAGGCACGAAGGCCAGGGUAGCGAAAGGGAUUAGAUACCCCUGUAGUCC